AGCAGGCCCAGCACGGAGCGGAGGGAAGAGAGGCAGCCUCAGGGUUCUACUGGUUGGAGUGGAGCCCAGGGGCAGGGGCACCUAGGCACUGGGCUAGAUCAGUGAGCUGUGUUCCUGCACGUCUUUUGCAAAGAGUAUGUGACAUGCUGAAACAUCAGAUGAAGACAAAUAAUACCCAGCAAAAUAAAACAAAGAGUGAGGACACAGGGUACGAUUGUGUACCAGAGGUCUAUUGGGGAAGAAAUGGGCUUGAGAUAUCAUAUCUCUGAAAUAUGGAGCAGCAACUUCACAGCACAUCAUUUUGAAAUGUUUAUCACAGAAAAAAAAUCUCCCCUUUUUACUAUUAAUAGUGUAGCAGGAGGAUUGUUUAGGACACUGAGAAAAUCAGAAGGGCAGCUUUUUUAUGGGUUUUAAAUAUUUAUACACUCAGAUUGGGAUGUGUUGACUGAAGUGAAAACACUGAAAUUAAAAGGAAAUAUGGUAUCGAAUAAGAGACCAUGCUGAGUUUCAUGAUAAAGAAAUCAUCCUUGCCUUGUUUUACCCAGCUCAAGCUGCCUCUGUAGGUUCAUUUUAAACCAUCAAUUAACAUGUUUAGCAGAGUGAAAGAUAGAAAAUGUUUCCACUCGACAGCAUGCAAUCUGCCCUGGGGAUAUUUGUAUAAAGGUGGCCACUAUUCAGACUCUUAGCCCCACUUUGGGAAGAUACAACUUGAUAGGGUGUUGAUGGUGACAAACUCAGUUAUGUUGAAGACACAUGAAAAUUGCACUGGUCUUAUAGUGUAUUACUAUGUAACACUGUCUCCAUGUUAUCUGGACCAGAAAUAUUUCAUUUCACUAGAUCGCAAUCUUGUAAGACAGCCUUGUCAUUUUAAUUUGUCACUCUUUUCGUACUACAUCUCACUGAAGUCUCAUCUCCCCAACCAAGUGCCAUGGGCUACUACUGUGGAAAGAAACCUGUCACAGAAUAGAAAAGGUAAAAACCACCAAACAGAAAGUUUAUGGCUUAAAUCACCACUCAGAGCUCCAUUCCCAUAGGAUUAACAGGUAGUACAAUUCACCCAAAGCUGAGUUAGAAAGAUCUGUAAUUUCAGCUAUUAUAUAUAAACACACAUCUCUCCUGCUGUUUCUUGUUACUACGUCUACAACUGCUAUCACUCCUGUAUAGCAAUGUCACUCACAGAAGAAAGCAGAAGGGAGAAAUGGAAAAAAAUGAAAGCAUUAGUAGUUAAGAAGAGAAGUUAUGACUGACAUGACGUCAGAUUCAAAAGUAGCCCUGGGAACUCUGCAGCAGAGUUGAUGGUAAGAGAAAAAUAUGGAAAAACUACAAAGAUACAGAAGAUAAAACAUAACUGACUUGAAGAUUCUUGAAUGGUGAAGUCAGUAAUUUCAUCAGUAUCUCUUUAGCUAAGAAGCCAACACACAUAAAAAGAAAACAGUGUUAUAGGCCUAUCUGGUAUAUUUCGAUUCCUCAUAAAAUAUGACAUGUUUUCCUUUCAAAGUGUCAAAGAGCCAACACUAGGACAGAUAGGGAAGUUUUUUCUCUUAAGAAUAAACACAAUUAUAUUCUUGUUUCCUCUGAUUUUUUUUUAAUCUACAGAAAUAAUUAAUCAAAAUAAAUGAGCUAGUAACCCCACAAUACUAGCAGCACUUUUGUGUCAUUUUCCGUACAGUGCAGCAUGUGUGACAGGAUUUCACCAAAAUGACUUAUGUUUCUGAACAUUGUAUUAAAGCAUAUUAUUUGUAAAUGAAAAUAUGGAAUUGACUAUUGAAGUCAUACCAUUUCUUUGGUUCUGAGAGCUUCUCUGGAA